GACAGCUGGCAGUAAGACUGGAAAAACUCCAGAAAGGCAAUACAAAGGCGGUUUCUCUCUCGCAGCAAGCCUCACUGGCUUGGGCCUUAUUCAUAGAUAACUGAAAUCUAGGACAACCAGCCACGGACAUAUGGGAGCAACUGCUUGCUGCUGUGUACAGCACAGUCAUCCUGGAGAACCUCACUGCAAAGGUACUUGAGUUGGCAGGAAAUGCAUAGAUAUACAAACCAUCACACCCAUCGUCACUUGCAGCUUGCUAUACAUGGAGAUGAAGACGUGGAUUCUCUGAUCAAGGCUACAGUUGCUGCUGGUGGCGUCAUCCCACACAUCCACAAAUCGCUGAUUGGGAAGAAAGGACAACAGAAGAC
rnacentral:lncRNA from 1 species